rnacentral:rRNA from 1 species
GGGAAGCCGCAUGGCUUUUCCCUGAAAACUCCGGUGGUACAGGAUGGGCCCGCGUCUGAUUAGCCAGUUGGCAGGGUAACGGCCUACCAAAGCGACGAUCAGUAGCCGGCCUGAGAGGGCGGACGGCCACACUGGGACUGAGACACGGCCCAGACUCCUACGGGAGGCAGCAG